ensembl:lncRNA
CUUCCUUGUUGGUGGCCUCUUAUCACCUUCAUAAGUGGGUUAGUCCCGCACACUAACUCCAUGGGAACCGGGACUUUUUGACGAAGAGCUCGGUUGAACCGCAAAGAGGAGGAAGAUUUGUGACAGCGCACAAGGAAGGACACGGCUGCUCGUUACACGACAGUUCGUGUGGGUAGACCGUGCUUGUCGGCAGUGUGGCGAACCGAACCGCAGCCUCUUCUACAGUUGUUUUUUUGACGGAGAAUGUAUCAUACUCACCUCUACUCAAUGAACCUACCUUGAGCUCAUUAUUUUGUUGUGGUUUUCGGCGUCAAAGCGACAGAGAUGGAAAGCAAGUUAGCCAGCACUACUCCAUCUUCCUCUUCAUUUGAUAUGCAGCUACUGACAUAACCAGUGCAGCGGAAGAUGGACAUCCAGAGUGGCAUACAAAAGGCAGUGGAGCCCCUCCCUACCUCUCUCCCCUCCUCCCCUCAACAGUCGGGUGCCCAUCAGCAGAGCGAGCCGGAGGACAGCCAGGCAGAGCAGAGCGCCAGGCCCACCGCUGACAACCACAGCAAGGACACCCAGCCAGCCGCCGGCCACCGAGACGACAAAAAACAAACGGGCCCCUGCGAGGCACCGGUUUCUCCUUUACGUGGCAGAUGGUCCGGCACUCUGCUGUUGCAUCAGUAUUUCAGUGUGGAGUCGAUUGAUGGGACUAUGUUUCAUGAAGCCAUUAGAAGACUGUUGCUGACUGAGAGGAGGGGCUGUCAGGAGAAACACUUUCACAUCCAAGGUUACAGAUGGAGAGACAGAGAAGUUCGUCAUAAGGUGGCUGCAGCUUGCACCAGACAGAGACGGACACAGGAAGGAGAGGACCGAACACAGCAAGGAAAGGGCAGAUAGACCCCAAGAGAAAUAGAUACAUUGACAUACACGCAUACAUACAUGGGAUAAAGGGAUGAACACUGACUCUUUGUACAUUAUCUGGAAAUAAUGGACGACUUGGUACUGCCCGAGUUUAUUAGUUCCAAGUAAUGUACAGAGCGGAGGCGUUUAUCCCGCUUAUUCCACGGUUGCCAAAGAAAACAAGACCACAUUUACUGGUAAAAAUGUACAUGUUUUCUUUGAGAUUAGAAUUUUGAUAAGUAAAUUCAUGCUAUUUCAUCCUUCCCGUUGUGCUGUCGGUUCGGUUGAUAGAGAAGCGGACUUGUUGUUCAUUCGAUUAAUUUGAUUGCUAUGCAGGCUGGCAAUGUUCUUAUCCCUUACUUGCUAGGUAGCCAACUAUGGCUAACCCAGUCGCUUCAACUAUGCACAGAAUAACAUCAAAGUAGCUGCAUUAGCGUUUUUUUUAAGCUGUUUUCUAGUGACAUUUAUUUGGAUAUGACCAUGCUACUGUACCUAAGUAGUACUUGUUGAGGGAUGACACG